UAGGGAAUCUUCCGCAAUGGACGCAAGUCUGACGGAGCAACGCCGCGUGAGUGAAGAAGGAUUUCGGUUCGUAAAACUCUGUUGUUAGAGAAGAACAGCGCAUAGAGUAACUGUUAUGCGUGUGACGGUAUCUAACCAGAAAGCCACGGCUAACUACGUGCCAGCAGCCGCGGUAAUACGUAGGUGGCAAGCGUUGUCCGGAGUUAUUGGGCGUAAAGCGAGCGCAGGCGGUCAAUUAAGUCUGAUGUGAAAGCCCCCGGCUCAACCGGGGAGGGUCAUUGGAAACUUGUUGACUUGAGUGCAGAAGAGGAGAGUGGAAUUCCAUGUGUAGCGGUGAAAUGCGUAGAUAUAUGGAGGAACACCAGUGGCGAAGGCGACUCUCUGGUCUGUAACUGACGCUGAGGCUCGAAAGCGUGGGUAGCAAACAGG
rnacentral:rRNA from 1 species